UGUAAAUGCUGGGGGGCUUACCGCCCUGGGGGUCCCGCCUUACAGGUCGCCCCCGCCGGGGAGUUCUCCCCUGCCUGGAGAGAUUCUGCAGACGGAGUCCCCGGCGCGCUGCUCCGAAGGAAGAAGGAGGCUUCCAGCCAUUGGCGCCCUUCAUGCAGGCUCAGUAGGGCCUAACGACCCUGCAGCGGCCUCUGAAAGAGAGCAGAGGACAAGCAGCGGGAGCGCCCCUCCUUCCAGCCAGCCCCCUCACCUAUGAAACAAACAGAAAAUGGAGUUCACUGCUACCAAACCCUGGGAUGUUAAAAAAUGCAACAAAUGCUUGAGGUGCUGCUGGGUGUCACUGUCUGAGUAAUUCAUCUGACUUGGCUGUUGUGCUGUAAAUGAGCUCUGCUCCAGAGGAACUGCUGCUGCACACAAUGGAAAGCACAUCUAGGAGGUGGUCUUCAGGAUCAGGAGCAAGGAAGAAAAACUCACCCAGGAGGAGCCUGAGAAAGCUACCAGGAAAGCACAGCACUCCCGGGAAGUAAGAUGGCAGCAAGAGGCUGCUUUGGCAGCACUAAGAAAACAUGCUGCCUGUAGUAUCUGCUACUCAAAAAAUCUUAGGUAAUUGACUUCUUGGACUGGGUUCUACAUAUCAGCUUGUAAAGCAGAAUCAAUUCUGAUGAUGGAUGAGAAGAUGAAGAUCAUUUUAUCCCCUUCAGUAGAAGGUUCCUCAGGGAAUGGACAAAAGAAGCUAAUUACUCUUUCCAAUUUCUCCUUUCUAUUUUCAUGUUGAGUCAAUCAUAACCAUCAGGAUGUAAUAAAAUCAUCACUAU